UACGUAGGGUGCGAGCGUUGUCCGGAAUUAUUGGGCGUAAAGAGCUCGUAGGCGGUCUGUCGCGUCGGUCGUGAAAACCUGCAGCUUAACUGUGGGCGUGCGGUCGAUACGGGCAUGACUGGAGUUCGGCAGGGGAGACUGGAAUUCCUGGUGUAGCGGUGAAAUGCGCAGAUAUCAGGAGGAACACCGGUGGCGAAGGCGGGUCUCUGGGCAACUACUGACGCUGAGGAGCGAAAGCGUGGGGAGCGAACAGG
rnacentral:rRNA from 1 species